rnacentral:rRNA from 1 species
AUGAACGCUUGGCGGCGUGCCUUAAGCAUGCAAGUCGAACGACGUGUCGUAGCAAUACGAUUACGAGUGGGCGGACGGGUGAGUAACACGUGGGAAUCUACCCUAAGUGUAGGAUAACUAGCCGAAAGGUUAGCUAAUACUGCAUGUGAACGAAAGUUUAAAGCUCUUAACUGGGCCGCUUUAGGAGGAGCCUGCGGUCUAUCAGCUUGUUGGUGAGGUAAAGGCUCACCAAGGCUACGACGGAUAGCUGGUCUGUAGAGGACGGACAGCCACAAUGGCACUGAGACACGGGCCAUACACCUACGGGUGGCAGCAACUGGGAAUCUUCCACAAUGGGCGAAAGCCUGAUGGAGCGACGCCGCGGUGAAGGAUGAAGGCCUUCGGGUUGUAAACUUCUUUUAUUUGGGAAGCCUGUAUGCUAUGCAUGCAGGGACGGUACCAUUUGAAUAAGCACCUGCUAACUACGUGCCAGCAGCCGCGGUGGAUACGUAGGGUGCAAGCGUUAUCCGGAAUUACUGGGCAGUAAAGAGUUCUGUAGGCGGAUUGUCAAGUUUGAGUUGAAACUCCAAGGCUUAACCUCGGAUUUGGCUCAAUACUGAUAAUCUGGAGAGCUCGUAGGGACUAGGGGAACAGGUGGUGGAGCAGUGAAAUGCGUUGAUAUCACUUGGAACACCAAAGGCGAAGGCACCUAGCUGGGCGAGUUCUGACGCUGAGAGACGAAAGCGUGGGGAGCAAAACGGAUUAGAUACCCGUGUAGUCCCACGCCGUAAACGAUGGAUGCUAGAUAUCAGUCUAUUAGCUAGACUGGUUGUCGCAAGCUAACGCAUUAAGCAUCCCGCCUGGGGAGUACGGCCGCAAGGCUAAAACUCAAAGGAAUUGACGGGGACCCGCACAAGUAGGGGAACGUGUGGUUUAAUUCGAGACGAAACGAAGAACCUCACAGGGUUUGACAUACAAGUAGUAAAACAUGGAAACAUGGAUGAUCCGCAAGGAAGCUUGUACAGGUGCUGCAUGGUUGUCGUCAGCUCGUGUCGUGAGAUGUAGGCUUAAGUGCCUCAACGAGCGCAACCCCCAUCGUAUGUUGUAUCACUCAUGCGAAACUGCCUCGCGCUUAGCGGGGAGGAAGGUGGGGACGACGUCAAAUCAUCAUAGCCCUUAUGUCCUGGGCCACACACACGUUACAAUGGCGAAUAACAACGGGUUGCAACACGGCGACGUGAAGCCAAUCUCUAAAAUUUCGCCUCAGUUCAGAUAACAGUCUGCAAUUCGACUGUUUGAAGAUGGACCUUACUAGUAAUCGCAGGUCAGCAUACCUGCGGUGAAUACGUUCUCGGGUCUUGUACACACCGCCCGUCAAGUGAGCAAAGUUGGCAGUACCCGAAUGGCCGCGUUCGCGGUCAGAAGGUAAGGUCAGCGAUGAGCGCUAAGUCGUAACAAGGUAA